CUGUGCCUGAAUCAAGGCCAGUGGCUUCCUGAUGCUGUUGGUUUCAAGCACGAGCCUAAAGAGAUGUCUUUCUAUAGUCUGUUGGUUAUUUCAGAACUUGGACAGUGAAAUGGUCAAUUCAUUAGAUAAAACAGCU
ensembl:snoRNA small nucleolar RNA SNORA2/SNORA34 family